UAUGGCCACAUCACAUUGAAACACCAGUUCCUGUAUGAUUACUGAAGUUAAGCAAUGUCAAGCCUGGUCAGUACUUAGAAGGAUGACUGCUUGGGCAUAUCAGGUGAUGUAAGC